UACGUAGGGGGCAAGCGUUGUCCGGAAUCAUUGGGCGUAAAGCGCGUGUAGGCGGCCAUGUAAGUCCGUUCUGAAAGCCCGGGGCUCAACCCCGGGAGGCGGAUGGAUACUGCAUGGCUCGAGUACGGAAGAGGCGAGUGGAAUUCCCGGUGUAGCGGUGAAAUGCGCAGAUAUCGGGAGGAACACCGGUGGCGAAGGCGGGUCUCUGGGCCGAUACUGACGCUGAGGUGCGAAAGCGUGGGGAGCAAACAGG
rnacentral:rRNA from 1 species